AUUACUGCCAACUUGUGUCCAUGGCAGCAUGUCUACAUUAAGUCAGCGAAGGAGCUUGGUAUGUGUGUAGAUUUAUUUUUAUUCAACAAUGAAAUGCUUCUAAGGACCAGUAAUGUUAAACUGUUGGCAACUGAAAUGUAAUAAAUUGUAAUAAAUGUAAAAACAUCAGAAACUGUAGGCCUCACAGAUGUUUGCUGGCCAUGCAAACAGAAAAACACCUGAGAAGUGCACCCUUCCAGAGGAGAUGAUGACUGAAGUUAUCUAAAAGCAACAGGAUCAUCCUCAGCUUGUGCAAACAGAGGUGCACAAUGAGAUGUGAMCUGCCUGCAAGAAGAUCUGUGUCCAUUCCUCCUCUGCUACAACUAAGAAAAUCAGGAUGCACAGCUUUGAUUUUGCACAGCAGAUGCAGCAUCAGCAUCUCCUGAGCAACAGGGCCAUCUUCAGUUAUCAGCACUUCAGGACAAGAUGUUGUGUACGGCUGCACAGACGAGGCUUUUUCCUGUGAGCGUACCAGUUGAGGGUUGCUGAAACAGAUCAGAGGUCUGCUCCUGUGGAAGAGUUGGGCUCAUUCACGACUCUUUUGCUUCGGCUUCUCUUCAAGCCGACAAAAUACGUAUAAAGACAAAAAAC